CCUGGAACUCACUCUGUAGACCAGGCUGGCCUCUAAUUCACAGAGAUCUGCCUGCCUCUGCCUCUCAAGUGCUGGGAU
rnacentral:miRNA from 1 species